rnacentral:lncRNA from 1 species
ACCAUCUCAAAGUUUUCGGAUGUUUAUGUUUUGUUUCCACCUUAACACAAAAUAGAAAGAAGUUGGCCCCGCGAACAAGCAAAUGUAUAUUUUUAGGCUAUCCAAAUAAUGUAAAAGGGUAUAGGGUAUAUGAUCUUUGUGCACAAAAGGUCCUGAUAUCAAGGGACAUUGUUUUUCAUGAGCAUGUGUUUCCAUUUCAUUCAUCAAGCAACAACAUGCAGUCUGACGCAUUUUAUCAAACACAUAGUAUGCAUGAUGAAUACAUGGAAGAUUUUGAUGCUUAUUCACCAUAUCAGCAUUACCAACAGCACACAACACCUAAAUUAUGUUCUCCUGAGCCUUCAUCAUCAUCUGAAACACCUUCUUCAUUGAAUUCAAAUGACAUUUCCCUCAAUCCACCCUUCAAUGACAGCAUAUCACCUACUGCAGACAGUUUUAGUGUUGAUAUGAGUACUUCUCAAGAAGCAGUAGCACCAACUAGAAAAAGUACAAGACAAAAACAACCUCCUAAGUACCUUGAUGCAUAUUAUGUUGACAUACCUUCACAAUCUAAUUCUGUUACCCUUCAUCCAAUAACCAAGCACCUAUCAACUAAACAACUCUCACCUGCACAUAAGGCAUUUGCUAUUGCUUUGUCCCAUAUUCAUGAGCUAAAUUCUUGCCAUCAAGCUAUAAACUAUUCUCAUUGGAGAGAAGCAAUGGACCUGGAACUGAAAGCUUUGCAAGACAAUGGUACAUGGCCCAUAGUACCUCUGCCUUCAAAUUCACAUGUAAUUGGCUGCAAGUGGGUAUACAAGAUUAAAAUGAAGGCAAAUGGUGAAAUUGAAAGAUAUAAGGCAAGAUUAGUUGCCAAAGGGUACAGCCAAGUUGUAGGAUUUGAUUACCAGGAGACUUUUAGUCCUGUAGCAAAACAGUCCACUGUUAGAGUGUUUUUUGCUCUAGCUGCUGCAAAUGGUUGGUCUUUAUCACAAUUAGAUAUUAAUAAUGCCUUCUUUAAUGGUGAUCUAGAUGAAAAAGUAUAUAUGGAGAUUGCACAGGGUUAUGCUGUCUAGGGGGAGUGUCCAAAAGGAUCCAAACUUGUCUGCAAACUACACAAAUCCUUAUAUGGUUUAAAACAAGCUUCCAAACAGUGGAAUGCCAAACUUACUGCUUCACUUUUGCAGUUUGGAUUUACUCAAUCAUCAACAGAUCAUUCUUUAUUUACUUUGAAGACUCUUACUGGAAAUUUCAUUGCUCUUCUCGUGUAUGUAGAUGACAUACUCAUUGGGAGUACAUCUAUUAAUGCUGCAUUAGAAGUGAAAGAGUUUUUAAACUCAAAAUUCAAGCUCAAGGACCUUGGAGUUGUCAAAUACUUCCUUGGACUUGAAAUCAUUGAUAUACCAGUAGGAAUCUCUAUAAGUUAAAGAAAGUACACUUUAGAUCUCCUUGAAGAACAAGGGAUGUUGGGAGCUAAACCUACAAACACUCCCAUUGACUAUAAUCAUAAAUUGUAGAAAGCACAAGAUGGAGAAUUAUUGAAGGAUCCAACAUGUUACAGACAGCUUAUAGGCAAACUACUAUAUCUUACUUUUAGUAGGCCUGACAUAUCUUAUGCAGUACAAACAUUAUCACAGUUCAUGGACAGACCUAGUCAGAUUCAUUUGAUGGUAGCUCACAGAGUAUUAAAGUAUUUGAAAAAUGCUCCUGGACAAGGAAUUCUAAUGAAAAGAAAAUCAAAUCUCAAGAUCACAACUUACUCAGACAAUGAUUGGGCUAGAUGUCCUCGUAGUAGGAAAUCAAUCACAGGAUAUUGUGUGUUUAUUGGAGACACUCUUGUCAAUUGGAAAUCCAAAAAGCAAGCUGUUGUUGCUCGCAGUUCUGCUGAAGCAAAGUAUCGUUCCAUGGCUUCCACCUGUUGUGAAUUAAUGUGGCUGAAGUACUUGCUGGCUGAUUUUAAGAUAGACCAUGAUGAUCCUAUAGACUUGUAUUCAGAUAGUCAAUCUGCCAUUCAUAUAAGCAAGAAUCCUGUGUUCCAUGCACAAACAAAACACAUCGAGAUGGAUUGCCACUUCAUCCGAGAAAAGGUGUUGGUAGGUACAAUUAAACCUCUUCACAUAUCCACUGAUCUGCAAGUAGUUGAUAUUUUUACCAAGGCUUUGUUACCAAAUCAAUUUUAUAAGCUACUAGGCAAGAUGAGUGUUCAUGAUAUUCACACCUCCUCUUGAGGGGGAGUGACAAACAGGAUCCAAGAAUAAGUCCAGAAUUCUUCAAGACUCGAGUGAGAGUGCUGCAGAAAAGAACAGAAGAAAGAAGUUCAAG